rnacentral:rRNA from 1 species
GGGUUGUGAGGUUAAGCGACUAAGCGUACACGGUGGAUGCCCUGGCAGUCAGAGGCGAUGAAGGACGUGCUAAUCUGCGAUAAGCGUCGGUAAGGUGAUAUGAACCGUUAUAACCGGCGAUUUCCGAAUGGGGAAACCCAGUGUGUUUCGACACACUAUCAUUAACUGAAUCCAUAGGUUAAUGAGGCGAACCGGGGGAACUGAAACAUCUAAGUACCCCGAGGAAAAGAAAUCAACCGAGAUUCCCCCAGUAGCGGCGAGCGAACGGGGAGCAGCCCAGAGCCUGAAUCAGUGUGUGUGUUAGUGGAAGCGUCUGGAAAGGCGCGCGAUACAGGGUGACAGCCCCGUACACAAAAAUGCACAUGCUGUGAGCUCGAUGAGUAGGGCGGGACACGUGGUAUCCUGUCUGAAUAUGGGGGGACCAUCCUCCAAGGCUAAAUACUCCUGACUGACCGAUAGUGAACCAGUACCGUGAGGGAAAGGCGAAAAGAACCCCGGCGAGGGGAGUGAAAAAGAACCUGAAACCGUGUACGUACAAGCAGUGGGAGCACGCUUAGGCGUGUGACUGCGUACCUUUUGUAUAAUGGGUCAGCGACUUAUAUUCUGUAGCAAGGUUAACCGAAUAGGGGAGCCGAAGGGAAACCGAGUCUUAACUGGGCGUUAAGUUGCAGGGUAUAGACCCGAAACCCGGUGAUCUAGCCAUGGGCAGGUUGAAGGUUGGGUAACACUAACUGGAGGACCGAACCGACUAAUGUUGAAAAAUUAGCGGAUGACUUGUGGCUGGGGGUGAAAGGCCAAUCAAACCGGGAGAUAGCUGGUUCUCCCCGAAAGCUAUUUAGGUAGCGCCUCGUGAAUUCAUCUCCGGGGGUAGAGCACUGUUUCGGCAAGGGGGUCAUCCCGACUUACCAACCCGAUGCAAACUGCGAAUACCGGAGAAUGUUAUCACGGGAGACACACGGCGGGUGCUAACGUCCGUCGUGAAGAGGGAAACAACCCAGACCGCCAGCUAAGGUCCCAAAGUCAUGGUUAAGUGGGAAACGAUGUGGGAAGGCCCAGACAGCCAGGAUGUUGGCUUAGAAGCAGCCAUCAUUUAAAGAAAGCGUAAUAGCUCACUGGUCGAGUCGGCCUGCGCGGAAGAUGUAACGGGGCUAAACCAUGCACCGAAGCUGCGGCAGCGACGCUUAUGCGUUGUUGGGUAGGGGAGCGUUCUGUAAGCCUGUGAAGGUGUGCUGUGAGGCAUGCUGGAGGUAUCAGAAGUGCGAAUGCUGACAUAAGUAACGAUAAAGCGGGUGAAAAGCCCGCUCGCCGGAAGACCAAGGGUUCCUGUCCAACGUUAAUCGGGGCAGGGUGAGUCGACCCCUAAGGCGAGGCCGAAAGGCGUAGUCGAUGGGAAACAGGUUAAUAUUCCUGUACUUGGUGUUACUGCGAAGGGGGGACGGAGAAGGCUAUGUUGACCGGGCGACGGUUGUCCCGGUUUAAGCGUGUAGGCUGGUUUUCCAGGCAAAUCCGGAAAAUCAAGGCUGAGGCGUGAUGACGAGGCACUACGGUGCUGAAGCAACAAAUGCCCUGCUUCCAGGAAAAGCCUCUAAGCAUCAGGUAACAUCAAAUCGUACCCCAAACCGACACAGGUGGUCAGGUAGAGAAUACCAAGGCGCUUGAGAGAACUCGGGUGAAGGAACUAGGCAAAAUGGUGCCGUAACUUCGGGAGAAGGCACGCUGAUAUGUAGGUGAAGUCCCUCGCGGAUGGAGCUGAAAUCAGUCGAAGAUACCAGCUGGCUGCAACUGUUUAUUAAAAACACAGCACUGUGCAAACACGAAAGUGGACGUAUACGGUGUGACGCCUGCCCGGUGCCGGAAGGUUAAUUGAUGGGGUCAGCGCAAGCGAAGCUCUUGAUCGAAGCCCCGGUAAACGGCGGCCGUAACUAUAACGGUCCUAAGGUAGCGAAAUUCCUUGUCGGGUAAGUUCCGACCUGCACGAAUGGCGUAAUGAUGGCCAGGCUGUCUCCACCCGAGACUCAGUGAAAUUGAACUCGCUGUGAAGAUGCAGUGUACCCGCGGCAAGACGGAAAGACCCCGUGAACCUUUACUAUAGCUUGACACUGAACAUUGAGCCUUGAUGUGUAGGAUAGGUGGGAGGCUUAGAAGUGUGGACGCCAGUCUGCAUGGAGCCGACCUUGAAAUACCACCCUUUAAUGUUUGAUGUUCUAACGUUGACCCGUAAUCCGGGUUGCGGACAGUGUCUGGUGGGUAGUUUGACUGGGGCGGUCUCCUCCUAAAGAGUAACGGAGGAGCACGAAGGUUGGCUAAUCCUGGUCGGACAUCAGGAGGUUAGUGCAAUGGCAUAAGCCAGCUUGACUGCGAGCGUGACGGCGCGAGCAGGUGCGAAAGCAGGUCAUAGUGAUCCGGUGGUUCUGAAUGGAAGGGCCAUCGCUCAACGGAUAAAAGGUACUCCGGGGAUAACAGGCUGAUACCGCCCAAGAGUUCAUAUCGACGGCGGUGUUUGGCACCUCGAUGUCGGCUCAUCACAUCCUGGGGCUGAAGUAGGUCCCAAGGGUAUGGCUGUUCGCCAUUUAAAGUGGUACGCGAGCUGGGUUUAGAACGUCGUGAGACAGUUCGGUCCCUAUCUGCCGUGGGCGCUGGAGAACUGAGGGGGGCUGCUCCUAGUACGAGAGGACCGGAGUGGACGCAUCACUGGUGUUCGGGUUGUCAUGCCAAUGGCACUGCCCGGUAGCUAAAUGCGGAAGAGAUAAGUGCUGAAAGCAUCUAAGCACGAAACUUGCCCCGAGAUGAGUUCUCCCUGACUCCUUGAGAGUCCUGAAGGAACGUUGAAGACGACGACGUUGAUAGGCCGGGUGUGUAAGCGCAGCGAUGCGUUGAGCUAACCGGUACUAAUGAACCGUGAGGCUUAACCUUACAACGCCGAAG